rnacentral:rRNA from 1 species
UACGUAGGGUGCAAGCGUUAUCGGAAUUACUGGGCGUAAAGCGUGCGCAGGCGGUUCUAUAAGACAGAUGUGAAAUCCCCGGGCUCAACCUGGGAACUGCAUUUGUGACUGCAUGGCUAGAGUUGGCAGAGGGGGGUAGAAUUCCACGUGUAGCAGUGAAAUGCGUAGAUAUGUGGAGGAACACCGAUGGCGAAGGCAGCCCCCUGGGUCAAGACUG